GAGACGUGGAGUAAGAGAUACAGCUGCCCUUGACCAUAUUUCUUACUUCCGAGAAGAUUGUAGCAGUAAUUCAGGACAUUCAUAUCAAGACAACCACUUUCUAGGAGAACUCUGAAUUGGAAAAAUGUUGAGUUCAGGUGUGUUGGUCAUGUGAGACACGGAGGAGGCCACUCAACAGAGCACAUGAAAUAACGUAAGCGGUGUAUUUCUUACAGGUGAGGUUCACGGGCACCAUCGCAGGCUCUACCUGACACAGCAUCUCAUCCAGGAUACCUCAUCACAG
rnacentral:lncRNA from 10 species